UGGGGAAUUUUGGACAAUGGGCGAAAGCCUGAUCCAGCAAUGCCGCGUGUGUGAAGAAGGCCUUCGGGUUGUAAAGCACUUUUGUCCGGAAAGAAAUCCUUGGCUCUAAUACAGUCGGGGGAUGACGGUACCGGAAGAAUAAGCACCGGCUAACUACGUGCCAGCAGCCGCGGUAAUACGUAGGGUGCAAGCGUUAAUCGGAAUUACUGGGCGUAAAGCGUGCGCAGGCGGUUUGCUAAGACCGAUGUGAAAUCCCCGGGCUCAACCUGGGAACUGCAUUGGUGACUGGCAGGCUAGAGUAUGGCAGAGGGGGGUAGAAUUCCACGUGUAGCAGUGAAAUGCGUAGAGAUGUGGAGGAAUACCGAUGGCGAAGGCAGCCCCCUGGGCCAAAUACUGACGCUCAUGCACGAAAGCGUGGGGAGCAAACAGGAUUAGAUACCCUGGUAGUCCACGCCCUAAACGAUGUCAACUAGUUGUUGGGGAUUCAUUCCUUAGUAACGUAGCUAACGCGUGAAGUUGACCGCCUGGGGAGUACGGUCGCAAGAUUAAAACUCAAAUGAGUUGACGGGGU
rnacentral:rRNA from 1 species